GUCUCGCCUAAAUCGGGACCUUUGGCUAUCUGUCUAUUAAUCUGUGGUAUCACUUUCUCUAUCGAUUACUGUUUUUAUAGUAAAAUAUAAACGUUGUUACAUUUUUAUAGUAUCUACGUAAUCACGUGUAAUAAUUCACGUGUAAUAAAACAUAAGUUAGUAAUAUCUUAAUGAUUGUUCCUUUUGAUGCGACCUUUUUAAGUAAGAUCACAGAAGUGCUUUCUACAACCAGCUUUUUAUAAAUAUUAAUCAGUCUUACAGAAAUAUAGUCAUUAAUUAUAAAUGUUAUUGAAAAAGAACAAAAAAAUGCAUUUUAUAUUAUUUUAUUAAAUGAUGGCUUAGUUACGGUACCGAAGCAAUGGUUAACGGAUGAUGAAAGGUAUACGUUUUGGCCUGAUGUAAAUUUAGCACAAUUAAUCAAUUUGAUUAAAUCAUGUGCUAACAUAAAUUCACAAUGGGAAAAAUAUGAAAUACAAUUUAUAUAUGAAACAGCAGGGGCCCAGCACCAUAUUCGGCCCUGGCUGCUAAGUCUGGCUGUCAGCUUCAGCUUCGUCAAUAAGAGUUGUUUUUUCGAAAAAGCAGAGCUCUCAUUGGAUAUCGCAUUAUCGCGCUGGUCUGCUGGAGCCUUUAGUCGUCUCAGCGAGUGAGUCCCAGAUGCGCACAGUAAUAAACGGAUAGCUUUUAGGAGGAAAAACACGAGAAGGAUGUCCCAUAAUCACAUUUCCAGACAAUGGCAAUUUUCAUAACUUAACUGAUUUGGACUAUCAGCGUCUUAUGCUAUAUCUUACCUCUAUGCCAACGUUGCAAGAAGCAGAUCUCGGGUUUCAUUUAAUAAUCGAUCGGAGAAACGAUAAGUGGAAUUCAGUGAAGACAGUGCUUCUAAAAAUUUCUGCAUUUUGUUCCUGGUUUGAUACACGUCGCUUACGUUCUACGACCCGUCGGAUUUUUACAAAAUGCCAUUUUGGAAAUGCCGAACAAAUUAUUCCGAGAGGAUUUCAAGUUCAGAGUUAUAUUCUUAGCUAACAUCGCCGAGCUGCACGAAUUCAUAGAGACGGAACAGCUCACUGAAGCACUUGGUGGUAAUUUGCAGUAUUGCCAUCACACUUGGAUACAGAACAGAAUUAUUUAAACAUGAAUUUUUCAAUUCUACAGCAACGUGGUCUAUGUUUAAACUUCUUUCUGUGGAUCGUAAAUUUAAGUCACGCAUCUGUUGAUUUCUUCGCAGUAUUCUGCAAAGAGUUUCUGUUUGUAUGUUUUUUAUAUUUGCAAGAUGUAAGCGCUUGAGACACUUGAAAUUUUCGAGAUGGGAAAAUCCCUUAUCAUUUAUGAAACAACACAUACUAAGAUCCAAAUCUAAAAAAAAAAA